UACGAAGGGGGCUAGCGUUGCUCGGAAUCACUGGGCGUAAAGCGCACGUAGGCGGAUUGUUAAGUCAGGGGUGAAAUCCUGGAGCUCAACUCCAGAACUGCCUUUGAUACUGGCGAUCUCGAGUCCGGGAGAGGUGAGUGGAACUGCGAGUGUAGAGGUGAAAUUUGUAGAUAUUCGCAAGAACACCAGUGGCGAAGGCGGCUCACUGGCCCCGGUACUGACGCUGAGGUGCGGAAAGCGUGGGAGCAACAGGG
rnacentral:rRNA from 1 species